rnacentral:lncRNA from 1 species
UGCCGGUGGUCAGCCCGCCGUGCAGGUUCGGCGAGAUGGUGGCGGAUGCGACCCAGAAGAGAAAGGAGUUCGCCAACGCCGAAGUGGCCUUCUGAUCGUCGCGAGGGAAUGAAAACGAAUGGGCGUGUGUGGUCCUCAUCCAUACGUGGCUGCUUAAUCGCAGGCAAUCGUACGUGGUAGUUUUACUACUACUACUAUCUAUGCAUUUGAAGUCAUGUGUUGUUAUGACCUAAUAAUGUAGUAAGUGUGAUGUUUACAAUUACAAGCGCAUGUCUUGUAGACUUGUCUAUGAAAGGCAGGCUAGACCAGGAUAGUGUGCCAUAUGUGUCGUUGUAGGUGUAAGUGUUGAGAAUAAGAUGAUUUUCCUUCACAAAUGCUAUGAUGUAAUCGGUGUCUUAUAUGUAUCGAGUACUCCCUCCGUUCGGAAUUACUUGUCGUAGAAAUGAAUGUAUCUAGAUGUAUUUUAAUUCUAGAUACAUCUAUAUCCGAGACAAGUAAUUCCGAACGGAGGGAGUACAUUUGUUCAGUUGUCAAGUUGCUCGCUAAUCUGACGCAUGACCCAUGUUUGCUUUUGACCUCUGAUGAAUCCGUCCAUGGCUCGACGAGCCUCGUCAGGGGAUCAACUUCAUGGUUUCUGUUAGAGCCAUAACCGUUUGUCAGGCACUUUGAUUAUGUAAAUUGGAGUGUUUGAUGUUGAAGCCAUGAUAAACCUCAUCGACAUUGUUCACUUUGUAUACUAGUACUACAUACACACAUAU